rnacentral:lncRNA from 1 species
CUCGAUUCGGUUACAGUACGUCACGCCACCACGUGUAAAUAGAGUGUUGUGUUAUGGAAUGUAAAUAAAUAUGUCAUCCGAGUACUAGAUCAUGAGAGUACUAGAUCGUGAAGUAAUGUGACUUUUCAGUUUGACUCUAUAAGAGUUUUACAAUCUUUUGGAGGAACCAUGAUAGGUGAGUAAGAACUUGUGUAUUACCUAUAUUCAACAUUUUAUUCAUUUUUGACUCACUGGGUACAUUAACAAAGUAACCCGUUAUAUAUUUAGUUCGAAUAUCUUUCAAUUCAUUACAGCAGAAAAUAUAAUGGAAUUCGUUUCCAACAACUUGUUUACAGAGAUUGCACAAUCUUUCAUUCCUUGGUAUACCAGCCCAACGUCCCGUCUCUAUCGGAAAUUUGAGAUUGCAUGUUCUCAGUUUACAUAUAUAGUUUCUAUUUACAGGAUUUAACCUUAAAAGAUAAUCUUCUAAUUCAAACUCUGUCUUAAAUUUAGAAUAAUAUUCCCCUCGUGAAGAAUUAGACACAUCUGAAAACCACUUUUGUAUAAAUUGAUCGUGCAAUCUCUGUCGUACAACAUUUUUUAAAAAUUCAGGAUUUACAUAUUCUUGGUUAUUCCAUAUUUCACUAUAACCCGUUUCAUCAAAUAUGGAUUUAAUAUAAUUAAUCCAGAGCAUAUUUCUAUUGCCAUUUUCAUUUAAUUUGAAAAGUAAUUUGUACAUUUUACCAGAUAAUUUGUCUGUAUUUCCAACUAGUUUGUUCCAGAAACACAGCAUUUUUAAUUUUUAUCUGUAUUUCUAAAGGGUAUCGCCCAAGUUCUCCAUACACCAUAAAAGUAGGCGUACUUGAUCUAAUUCCUAAAAUUUUCUUACAGAACUGUAAGUGUAUUUUUUCUAUAAUGUUCUUAUUUUCAAAACCCCAAAUCUCAGAUGAAUAUGUCAAUAUAGGAGACACCAAUACAUCAAAAAGUUUUAGUUGCAAAUCUAUAGGUAUACUAAUAUUACGAAUUUUCGUGUACAAUGAGUAUAGUGAUUUCUGUGCUUGUUCCACAAGUUUUUUCCUUAAUAUGAAUAUGACAGUUCUUGUCCAUUCGUUUUUUAUGCGUUUUGUUAUUUGAUUUUGCCAUGUGAUUAUGGACUUCCGAAUUGAUUUUCCUCUAAGUUCAGUAUUUUUGUGAUUUUACUUUUUUCUGUACGAAGUCAGGAGUAUGACAGUCGUUGUCCAUUCUUUUGACGUAUUUGAGCUUUUGGUUUGCUAAAAGACUUUUCGUUUAGAAUAUUUAUCGGAGUUCGGAAUUUUUGUUAUGUUAUUUUUUACUUGUUCAACAUAAAGUCGAUAUUUUGAUAUAACACCUUAUGUUUCAUAAGGUUGGUGGUCAGCCAUUCAUUUUCUACUAAGGGUUUUUUCGACGCCUUUUUUCAUCCUAUGUUUGGAUUAAGGUAAUUUUUGUUAUCUUUUCGACUUGAACUUUUGUUCAUAUGAGUACGGGGCUAAGAGUUCAUCUCGGGUUUGUUGUGAGUUCGUGUUCAUUCUUUAGCUAUUUCUGUAUGGUAAUACAAACAAGAUAAGGCCGUUAGAUUUCUCGUUUAAAUUGUUUCACAUUGCCAUUUCGGGCCCGGUUAUAUCUGACUAUGCGGUAUGGGCUUUGCUCAUUAUUGAAGGCCGUACUGUGACUUACAGCUGUUAAUUACUGUGUCAUUUUGGUCUCUUGUGGAGAGUUGUAUAAUUGGCAAUCAUACCACAUCUUCUUUUUUUAAAGAAUUAUUGUCUGUCUUGUUGUAGUCGUGUUAACUUUGCAUUUGAAUUAGAAACAAACACGUUGUAUAUGCAUAUGGUUCUUUUUUGCAUAAGAGUAGUAAAUAUAAAAAAAAAAACACUUCAACAUUUACAUUUUAUCUUUUUCAUCAUGGUACUGUCUCUUGUUUCUGUUAUUGACUUUUGACGAAGAAUGAAAAGUCAGUACACUAUCCCUGAUUUAAUUAUUAAUUAUUUGUUAUUUAGAGACGGAUCGAGAAAUAUAUUUUCCUGUUUUUCAACAAUAUUGCAUGUCAGAUCUAAACAAUGUCUAUUUCGUUUAAGCCCUGAUAUUGAUUUACAUUUUCUAACCUGUCGUAAAAUUAAUUCUUACUGCAUAUCUAUCUCCGAAUGUGUCAAUUUUGAAACAAAUUCUAUGAUAAAGCAUGAACUGUAUGUCUGGGUACAUAUCAGUUUCCACGUCAACAGGAAAGACUUCCGUUUAAUUUUCACAAAAACAAUAACAGUACUGUUUUCUAAGUUUUUCAAUGAAUAAUUGCAAAAAUAAUAUCAAUGCUGUCUUAAAUUUCAUAGAGUACAAAUAGGGUGCAUGUUAAAAACAGCGGGUUUAUGAAUUUACUUUUAAUAUCUUCAAAUGUUUGGUUGAUUCAUGAAUGUUAAGCAAUAAAAUACACAUGUAAUGUUUUCUUUCCUUUCUUACGUUAUCAAAAUGUCUUUUUACAAGCAGUUGUAAAUGAAUAGAUUUAGCAUCUACCAUUUGAAAAUAGUCAAAACAUGUUACUUUCAUUUUCAGCCAUCAAAAACAGGAGACGAUGACAGGGGAACUAAGUAGUUGCUUCCAUUUCAUUAUUUGGAAAAAAAGAAAAUUGUUGAAAGCAAUAAAUAAAUAAAAAAGGAAAGC